rnacentral:rRNA from 1 species
GCGAAAAGAACCCCGGCGAGGGGAGUGAAAAAGAACCUGAAACCGUGUACGUACAAGCAGUGGGAGCCUCUUUAUGGGGUGACUGCGUACCUUUUGUAUAAUGGGUCAGCGACUUAUAUUCUGUAGCAAGGUUAACCGAAUAGGGGAGCCGAAGGGAAACCGAGUCUUAACUGGGCGUUAAGUUGCAGGGUAUAGACCCGAAACCCGGUGAUCUAGCCAUGGGCAGGUUGAAGGUUGGGUAACACUAACUGGAGGACCGAACCGACUAAUGUUGAAAAAUUAGCGGAUGACUUGUGGCUGGGGGUGAAAGGCCAAUCAAACCGGGAGAUAGCUGGUUCUCCCCGAAAGCUAUUUAGGUAGCGCCUCGUGAAUUCAUCUCCGGGGGUAGAGCACUGUUUCGGCAAGGGGGUCAUCCCGACUUACCAACCCGAUGCAAACUGCGAAUACCGGAGAAUGUUAUCACGGGAGACACACGGCGGGUGCUAACGUCCGUCGUGAAGAGGGAAACAACCCAGACCGCCAGCUAAGGUCCCAAAGUCAUGGUUAAGUGGGAAACGAUGUGGGAAGGCCCAGACAGCCAGGAUGUUGGCUUAGAAGCAGCCAUCAUUUAAAGAAAGCGUAAUAGCUCACUGGUCGAGUCGGCCUGCGCGGAAGAUGUAACGGGGCUAAACCAUGCACCGAAGCUGCGGCAGCGACGCUUAUGCGUUGUUGGGUAGGGGAGCGUUCUGUAAGCCUGUGAAGGUGUGCUGUGAGGCAUGCUGGAGGUAUCAGAAGUGCGAAUGCUGACAUAAGUAACGAUAAAGCGGGUGAAAAGCCCGCUCGCCGGAAGACCAAGGGUUCCUGUCCAACGUUAAUCGGGGCAGGGUGAGUCGACCCCUAAGGCGAGGCCGAAAGGCGUAGUCGAUGGGAAACAGGUUAAUAUUCCUGUACUUGGUGUUACUGCGAAGGGGGGACGGAGAAGGCUAUGUUGGCCGGGCGACGGUUGUCCCGGUUUAAGCGUGUAGGCUGGUUUUCCAGGCAAAUCCGGAAAAUCAAGGCUGAGGCGUGAUGACGAGGCACUACGGUGCUGAAGCAACAAAUGCCCUGCUUCCAGGAAAAGCCUCUAAGCAUCAGGUAACAUCAAAUCGUACCCCAAACCGACACAGGUGGUCAGGUAGAGAAUACCAAGGCGCUUGAGAGAACUCGGGUGAAGGAACUAGGCAAAAUGGUGCCGUAACUUCGGGAGAAGG